rnacentral:tRNA from 1 species
AGCGCGUUUCAGGUGGUGGCUCCUCGGGCUCAUAACCCGAAGAUCGCAGGUUCAAGUCCUGUUCCCGCUA